GAACACACUGGUAGAAGAGCACACAGGCAGCUGGAUGUCGAGAGGAGCGGAAGAGCACAGCGACAGGCACUGGUGUCGACCAGCGGAACGACGUGGAGUUUGGCCUGGGAGGUCAGAGAAGAAUUUGGCUGCUGGGCAGCCCCACUAUAGGGGAAAACCACCUUCCCACUCCAUUCCCCUUCUGAUCUCCCCAUCCACCUCGCUGAGAGCUACCACAACUCAAUAAAAAACCUAGCACUCGAUCUCCAAGCCCACAUGUGAUCCAAUUUUUCCCGUGCACUAAAGCAAGAACCUGGGAUACAGAAAGCCGUCUGUCCUUGUGAUAAGGCAGAGGGUCUAAUUGAGCUGAUUAACACAAGCCACCUGCGGACAGCUAAGCUGAAAAAGCAUCCUGUAACACACGCCCACUGGGGCCUCAGGAGGUGUAAACAUUCACCCCGAGAGGCUGCAUGGGUCCGCGCCCAUGGUCCCCAUGACUUGCCUGUUUGCCUGCUCUGGCUAAGGGUCUUGACCAGUGGGGCACUGAAGAAGCGAGCCACACCUCCAUCGUACGCCCUGCGAGGAGGGUCUCACUCAGUGACCCAGGCUGAAUGCAGUGGAACAAUCAUGGCUUACUGUAGCCUUGACCUUGAGGGCUUAAGCAAUCCUGCCACCUCAGCCUGCCUAGUACUGGGACUACAAAAUUGCCACAGUCACCUCAACCUUCAGCAACCACCAACUUGAUCAAUCAGCAGCCAAUAACGUGAAGUCAUGACCAUUCACCAGCAAAAAGUUUAUGAUUCACCAAAAUAUUAGAUGAUCAUUAACAUUUUUAGCAAUAAUGUAUUUGUCAUUAAGUGUUAGUGCAUUGGAAAAUCAUUUAAAGAAUGUAUCAGCUAAUUGAAGGCUUAUGGUAAACAAGAUUCCUGCCAGGCUUUGACUACUACCCUUGGCCUUCCUAUACAGGGUUGUAAAGAAUCAUCAUGAUGUAUGUUUGAAAUUAUGUUUAACAGUAUUACAGUCAAUAUAGACUAAAUUUUGAUGCAGUAACAACCUCAGAACUUUUACAAUCAUUGCUGGACUGAGAGAGAAAGAGAGAGUGAACAGGGAAUGUCACAUGAGCAGAGAAUGUCACUAUCUCAACUGUAAAAAACAAACAUUACUUCUACUCACAUUUCAUUGCCCAGAACUAGUCCUAUACCUGUGCCUAACUGGAAAUGAGCACAAACUAUCGUGUCUGUCAUGCUCAAGGAGAGGAAAUU
rnacentral:lncRNA from 1 species